rnacentral:rRNA from 1 species
AUUGAACGCUGGCGGCAGGCCUAACACAUGCAAGUCGAGCGGAUGAAGGGAGCUUGCUCCUGGAUUCAGCGGCGGACGGGUGAGUAAUGCCUAGGAAUCUGCCUGGUAGUGGGGGAUAACGUCCGGAAACGGGCGCUAAUACCGCAUACGUCCUGAGGGAGAAAGUGGGGGAUCUUCGGACCUCACGCUAUCAGAUGAGCCUAGGUCGGAUUAGCUAGUUGGUGGGGUAAAGGCCUACCAAGGCGACGAUCCGUAACUGGUCUGAGAGGAUGAUCAGUCACACUGGAACUGAGACACGGUCCAGACUCCUACGGGAGGCAGCAGUGGGGAAUAUUGGACAAUGGGCGAAAGCCUGAUCCAGCCAUGCCGCGUGUGUGAAGAAGGUCUUCGGAUUGUAAAGAACUUUAAGUUGGGAGGAAGGGCAGUAAGUUAAUACCUUGAUGUUUUGACGUUACCAACAGAAUAAGCACCGGCUAACUUCGUG